rnacentral:rRNA from 1 species
CCUACGGGUGGCAGCAGUGAGGAAUAUUGGUCAAUGGACGAGAGUCUGAACCAGCCACGUAGCGUGAAGGAUGACUGCCCUCUGGGUUGUAAACUUCUUUUAUAUGGGAAUAAAAUGUUCCACGUGUGGGAUUUUGUAUGUACCAUAUGAAUAAGGAUCGGCUAACUCCGUGCCAGCAGCCGCGGUAAUACGGAGGAUCCGAGCGUUAUCCGGAUUUAUUGGGUUUAAAGGGAGCGUAGGUGGAUUGUUAAGUCAGUUGUGAAAGUUUGCGGCUCAACCGUAAAAUUGCAGUUGAAACUGGCAGUCUUGAGUACAGUAGAGGUGGGCGGAAUUCGUGGUGUAGCGGUGAAAUGCUUAGAUAUCACGAAGAACUCCGAUUGCGAAGGCAGUUCACUGGACUGCAACUGACACUGAGGCUCGAAAGUGUGGGUAUCAAACAGGAUUAGAUACCCCUGUAGUC